rnacentral:rRNA from 1 species
CAGUAGCCGCGGGAAUACGUAGGGUGCAAGCGUUAAUCGGAAUUACUGGGCGUAAAGCGUGCGCAGGCGGUUCGCUAAGACAGAUGUGAAAUCCCCGGGCUCAACCUGGGAACUGCAUUUGUGACUGGCAAGCUAGAGUGUGGCAGAGGGGGGUGGAAUUCCGCGUGUAGCAGUGAAAUGCGUAGAUAUGCGGAGGAACACCGAUGGUGAAGGCAGCCCCCUGGGCCAACACUGACGCUCAUGCACGAAAGCGUGGGGAGCAAACAGGAUUAGAUACCCCGGUAGUCCCUGUCUCUUAUAC